rnacentral:rRNA from 1 species
ACAGGUGAAGAAAGGGCCGGGCAAGACCGGUGCCAGCCGCCGCGGUAAUACCGGCGGCUCGAGUGGUGGCCACUAUUACUGGGCUUAAAGCGUUCGUAGCUGGUCUGUUAAGUCUCUGGGGAAAUCUACUGGCUUAACCAAUAGGCGUCUCAGGGAUACUGGCAGACUAGGGACCGGGAGAGGUGAGAGGUACUCCAGGGGUAGGAGUGAAAUCCUGUAAUCCUUGGGGGACCACCUGUGGCGAAGGCGUCUCACCAGAACGGCUCCGACAGUGAGGGACGAAAGCUGGGGGAGCAAACCGGAUUAGAUACCCGGGUAGUCCCAGCCGUAAACGAUGCGCGUUAGGUGUAUCGGUGACCACGAGUCACCGAGGUGCCGAAGAGAAAUCGUGAAACGUGCCGCCUGGGAAGUACGGUCGCAAGGCUGAAACUUAAAGGAAUUGGCGGGGGAGCAC